AAUCAUUACAAAAAUACUGGUUGAGGCACAGGAUGUAGGUAACAGAAUGUAUGUCCUACAAAGAUUAAUUUCUUCUGGAUCAGAUUCUUUAUAUGCCAGAAUCUCUGCAAAAUAAGAGCGAAUGUCAUUAGAAGAGUAUUGGCGAAUCUGUGCAAAGACUUUACAACUGCUGCCCAGAAAGCAAUAGACAAGGAACUUCAGUGAGACCAUGAGCCAAUCGGCCAAAAGUGACGAAGAGAAAUUACACCAAGCUGGCGUGGAAAGGAAGCUCCGAAACUGGGUUGCUGUUUGCAGCCAAAAAUGUUUUCCAUCACUGAAGAAAGGAAUCUGAAUAAAUGUAAAAUCAACAAAAUCAACCCAAACUAUUCAAGAUCAUCAGAAUGAGAAUAAAAUACUAAAGAUUUGGAUGUCUACUGACUUUCCGCAAGAAGUGGAAAGUUAUUAAAAGCCAUUAUCGGAGUUCUUUAUAAGAGACUGACUGUCCUGCUUCCCCAUGGAAACAUGAUACAGCAAGGAGAAGCAACUGACUGCCCAGCCAAUGAGGGGCUGCCUUUGAAGGCAACAUCAGGCAUCCCUGGUGCCAAGUGGAGCCGGGCAGCCAUGCUGCUAACCAGGAACCUUCAGCAGAUACCCAGGUGAGACGGACUGACCCACAGUGGCCAAUCAUGGAGGACUCGACACAUCUCUCUAGUACAUGUAACUGUCUUAACGC